rnacentral:rRNA from 1 species
GACGAACGCUGGCGGCGUGCUUAACACAUGCAAGUCGAACGGAAAGGCCCUGUUUUUGUGGGGUGCUCGAGUGGCGAAAGGGUGUGUAUCACGUGAGUAACCUGCCCUUUACUUUGGGAUAACUUCAUUAAACUGGGGCUCAUACCCGAUAUGAGCUCCUUCUGCAUGGUGGUGGUUGUAAAGUUUCGGCGGUUGGGGAUGGACUCGCGGCAUAUCAUCUUGUUGGUGGGGUAGUGGCUUACCAAGUCUUGGACGGGUAGCCGGACUGAGAGGGUGACCGGCCACAUAGGGACAGAGAAGGGAGCCAGAGGGAAACGGGAGGAAGCAGUGAAGAAUAGUGCGAAAAGGGCGGAGGCCUGAUGGAGGAACGCCGCAUGCGAGAUGACGGUCGGCAGAGUGUAAAGCGCUUGAGCGUGUAAAGAAGAGUAAGUGACGGUAAUGGGUAAAGAAGCACCGGCUAACUACGUG